UCCCUGGUGGUCCAGUGGCUCAGAAACUGCAUUCCCAAUGCAGGGGGCCCAGGUUCAAUCCCUGGUCAGGGAA
rnacentral:tRNA from 1 species